UACGGGGGGGAGCAAGCGUUGUUCGGAUUUACUGGGCGUAAAGGGCGCGUAGGCGGCCAGCACAAGUCAGUUGUGAAAUCUCCGAGCUUAACUCGGAACGGUCAACUGAUACUGUGCGGCUAGAGUGCGGAAGGGGCAACUGGAAUUCUUGGUGUAGCGGUGAAAUGCGUAGAUAUCAAGAGGAACACCUGCGGCGAAGGCGGGUUGCUGGGCCGACACUGACGCU
rnacentral:rRNA from 1 species